AUGCCUUAAAUAUAUGAGCAAGGAAAAUAAUUUUUCAGGGUAAUGACCAAAUAUUCACUUUGAAUGUUUUAAGAAAUUUUGAGAGGGUACAGAGGGCCCCUAAGGUGACUAGCCAACUUUGGUGAGAUGCUUAGGUGUAGCGAUAUGCUGG
ensembl:snRNA U12 U12 minor spliceosomal RNA